GACGUAGGGCGCGAGCGUUGUCCGGAUUUAUUGGGCGUAAAGAGCUCGUAGGCGGCUUGUCGCGUCGUCUGUGAAAUCCCGCGGCUCAACCGCGGGUCUGCAGUCGAUACGGGCAGGCUAGAGUUCGGUAGGGGAGACUGGAAUUCCUGGUGUAGCGGUGAAAUGCGUAGAUAUCUGGAGGAACACCGGUGGCGAAAGCGCGAGACUGGGCCGUAACUGACGCUGAGGAACGAAAGCCAGGGUAGCCAAAGGG
rnacentral:rRNA from 1 species